ensembl:lncRNA
AAGAUUAUUUUCUGGACAUUUCUCUUUUGUAAUAGCUUUAAUGCUUAUAUUACUAAUAUGUCUUCACACUGAAUGAACUAGCAGUACUUUUAUAUCAUUACAUGAAACCCCUUCUGAUCAUCACUGAUAAAACUUUUAUUUCUCUGAAUCAGAUCUGUCACAUUGUGUUUAUUUUCAUAUUUCUGCUCUUGCUCUUUUACUUUAUUCUGUUAUGGUUGAUUUCUUUCAUUUACAGGUCUGUUUAGAUGUUUUAUCUGUUUGAAGAUCUUGAUCUGUUUCUCAGUUUUGUAGUGUUUGUUGUUUUGCUGUCUGUGGUUUUGCUUAAAUUUGCAGUUGACUUUUAACACAUAUAACUACAUUCAUGCAUUAUUCUUCACAAGAUAUUUGCAUCAUAGAAGACUGCUAAACAUGUCCUUCUUUAGACAUUGUAAAUGGGGUCAUUGCUGAAUUUGUUUUUUGAAUUAAAUGGGAAAAUAAAACACUUUAAAAUGAAACAGUAUUGCCAGUCAAAAGUCGCUCAUACAAUUUUUAUAUUAUAACAGUCAAUUAACACUUUAUCCAACAGAAAGCAUACAUCAAUGAUUUUAAACAUAAAAAACAUGUAUAAAAAUAAUCAAUCCAGACAGAAAUCAAAUGAUUUUUAGCAAAUAAUUUCAGCUGUAACUCGUUUCCUUCUGCAGAUGUUACUCAUAACAAAGAAAGCAGCAUUGAUCUGGAUGAGGGAACUGGUGGAGACAUCAGCUGCAGCGUGAAGAACCACGUCAGUCACGCACAGAAGACCAUUAGACUCAAACCCUGUCCUGCUGAUGGUUCUGUUGGGUCUGUUAGGAGCUUUUCACAUCUACAUGAGACACACAUCAGGAAAGAAACAGGAAGAUCAGAAAGUGAGGAUGAGAAGAUUUAGAGAAGGACAUGAACACACAGCAGAAGAUUCAUGAGAGCAGCAGCAGAUCAUCACAUCUAUGAGAAAUGACUUCAUAAUCUCACAGAUUCUCACAUCAAUCCAGCUUUCAGCUGUCGACUGCAGAUCUUAUAAUAUAAACCCUAGAGAUUAAUUAAAAACAGGAGAUAAGACUUAAACCAGAUUUUCUAUGGUUUUGGUUAUGAAGAUUAUUUUCUGGACAUUUCUCUUUUGUAAUAGUUUUAAUCCUUAUAUUACUUAUGUGUCUUCACACUGAAUGAACUAGCAGUACUUUUAUAUCAUUACAUGAAACCCCUUCGGAUCAUCACUGAUAAAACUUUUAUUUCUCUGAAUCAGAUCUGUCACUGUCAUGGUCCUGCCAUCAUGUCCUGACUUUUCUCUAGUCUAGAGGCAGGAUCAUGACAGACCCGUGUUUUGUGUACAAGCACAUGGCCUUGUCUUUGGGCCAUGUGCUUGUGUUGUCUCGUUCCCUUGCCCCGCCCCCCUUGUUAUCCUAGUCUGGUCGUGAUUGUCCUAUCUGUGCCACCUGUCGUGUCUUGAUUAGUUCCCCUAUUUAGAUCUCCUAGUGUGCUCUGUCUUUUGUCGGUUCAUUGUGAUUGUUUCCUCAGACGGUUCCUCAUAUAUGUUCCUACCUGUCAGCCUCGUGAGUUUAUCCUUGUCAUCCCUGAAGAAGUCCUUGUAAUA